CCUGCACAGCAUCACUUCUUGGGCUCCACUCAGAGACUCUGUAGCCAGCUGUCGUUUGGCAGUCUCCUUUCCCUCAGGUUUCACCAAGAAGUCACCAAAAGCAGCAGAGGAAAAGAUGAGUCUGAACAGAAAGCAAAGGCCCUUUCUCUAUUUCUACAGCUCCUCACCGAAUUGACGUCCCAGGCACGCCAGGCCCGGGUCCUCAAGGACAGGAAACCUGGGCAGCGAAAAGGAAGUGGGGAGAGAGCUCAGCCCUUGUGGAACCGGGCUGCUGGCGUCUGCAAGCCUCUGAGGGCCUCACCUCCACCCAGGCUGCCAGCCAGUUCACAAAAGCCGUCUGAGGUCUUCUCUCCGCCUGGGCGCAGGGAGGCGGGCGCAGAGCGGGCCCGAUGGGCGAAGCACUGUGAUUGGUCGCCGGAGGCCCCGCCCCCACCCCGGCGCGUCGAGAGGGGGCGGGGCCAGCCGCCUAUUCGGCUCCGGGGCUGCGGGCGCCUAUUGACCCAGCAGCCGCCUCGCCGCGGCUGUCUCCUUCUGCUCGUGGCGGGCGGUGUAGGAGCGCCGAGUGGCGCUGGAGAACCGGUGCUUCCUUUCGCAGCUGCCGCCGCCAUCUCCGCAUUUGCGGGGCGGGAAGGAGGGAGGGGACUCGCGGCUGUAGCUGGAGCGGGCUUCUCUCCGGGGACGCUCCUCUCCUUGCUCUCCUUUUCCUCCUCCGCGCGCCGCCGCCGCCCGCCCCCUGCGCCCUCCUCGCGCAGCCCGGGUCCGGGAGGGGAGAGGAAGGGGCGCUGGGGGGCGGGAGAGGCCAGCGGACGGGCGCGCGCUCGGAGGAAACUCCUGCCGGAUCCGUUCGUCCCCGCGCCCAGGGUGCACCCCGGCCCGGCCUCGGCGGCGGCGGCGGCAGCGGCGGCGGCAGCAGGAAGGCGCUCUAGCGGGGGCGGCGCCGCGGGGGCGGGUCCGGCCGUCCCGGCGCUAAGUUGUGGGGCCCGGCUCCUCCCGACCUGGUUCCUUUCCCCUGGGCUGUUCGGACCCAGCUCUGUGCUGUCGACCCCAGAGCCGCUGAUCCCGCACCUCCUGGGUGAGGGGGACACGCCUGCCCUCGUCGAGAAAACUUUUCCUGCUGACUCGGUCGGGGCGGCGGUGGCAGGAAGUCCGGACAGCGACCUCUUCGCCUGCCCUGCGCCUGCCGGGUGCGGGCGCUGA
rnacentral:lncRNA from 1 species